rfam:Ictidomys tridecemlineatus contig023728, whole genome shotgun sequence.
GGGGAUAUAGCUCAGUUGGUAGAGUGAUUGCCUAGCAUGCACAAGGCCCUGGGUUCAAUCCCAACACCACCA